UAAAAUGAAAUUUUUGUAUAAUAAAUUUAUUAUGGGUUUAGUUUAGCUCCUAUUUAUAUGGUGAGCUUUACUUUUCUCAUAAUAAAUUUAUUAUAUGAUUAUAACACUUUGUGCACUAUAAAUGUUUUUUGGGAUAUUAUACUUUAUUGUAUAUAUCCCAGCAUUCUUAAACCAAAAUUUUUAACAUUUGACUAAGUUUUCUAUUAUGAAAUAUAUAAAA
rnacentral:misc_RNA from 1 species